rnacentral:rRNA from 1 species
AUUGAACGCUGGCGGCAGGCCUAACACAUGCAAGUCGAGCGGAGCGGCGGACGGGUGAGUAAUGUCUGGGAAACUGCCUGAUGGAGGGGGAUAACGUCUGGAAACGGGCGCUAAUACCGCAUACUAUCAGAUGAGCCCAGGCCGGAUUCGCUAGUUGGUGGGGUAAAGGCCUACCAAGGCGACGAUCCGUAACUGGUCUGAGAGGAUGAUCAGUCACACUGGGACUGAGACACUGUCCAGACUCCGACGUGAGGCAGCAGUAGGGAAUAUUGGACAAUGGGCGAAAGCCUGAUCCAGCCAGGCCGCGUGUGUGAAGAAGGGCUUCGGAUUGUAAAGCACUUUAGGUUGAGAGGCGUUGCCAACAGAAGAAGCACCGGCUAACUUCGUGCCAGCAGCCGCGGUAAUAC